UGAAAGAAUAAUAUUAAGGCAGGUGAC
rnacentral:piRNA from 1 species